UACGGAGGGUGCAAGCGUUAUCCGGAUUCACUGGGUUUAAAGGGUGCGUAGGCGGCUAAUUAAGUCAGCGGUGAAAUUCCACAGCUUAACUGUGGAACUGCCAUUGAUACUGGUUGGCUUGAGUACAGAUGAGGUAGGCGGAAUUGACAGUGUAGCGGUGAAAUGCUUAGAUAUUGUCAAGAACACCUAUUGCGAAGGCAGCUUACUAAGCUGUAACUGACGCUGAGGCACGAAAGCGUGGGGAUCAAACAGG
rnacentral:rRNA from 1 species